AUGGCUGCAGUCACUAUCUGUAGUGAUUUUGGAGUCCAAGAAAAUAGGAACCGACUCUCAUUGCCAGGCCUUAGGUUCAUAUCCUCUUUGAGCCUUUUGGGAUGGUCGUCAGAGUCGGUCCCUCUUUCCCCAGCAGCCUCAUUGCCUUCAUGCAGCCCACACAUGCUUGUUCAGCCUCUGGGUAUGAGGUUUUACACUGAGCCAGGGGACCAGAUGAGGGAAGACAGCAGAAGCCCUGCUUCAUGGAGCUGCCAUCUUCCAGAAGGGCUCUGGGUGGAGCAGACUGCACCCUCGUGCAAACCAGGCGGAGGAACACACUUCACCCUCGUGUUCAUGCACAGAUGCUCCGUGUCUCUGGCCUGCCGUAAAAUCUGUGAAAGUCAUCUUUGUAAAACCACGCCAUUCCUCCGAGGGAAAUCCUUUGACUUUGCAGUGAAUAAGAGUAUGUUGGAGAAAGAUGUCACUGCCUAUGAAACGGGACACGUGGAGUGUUCCAGACUGAUGUUCUGCAUGGGAGGGGAGCCCAGCUGGACUCCAUUGGGAAAGGCUAACCCUUCCGCAGGGUGA
rnacentral:lncRNA from 1 species